GAUGAACGCUAGCUACAGGCUUAACACAUGCAAGUCGAGGGACCGGCGCACGGGUGAGUAACACGUAUCCAACCUGCCCUUUACUCGGAGAUAGCCUUUCGAAAGAAAGAUUCAUACCCGCUAUAAAGGCUGGGGAUGCGUUCCAUUAGGUUGUGGGUGAGGUAACGGCCCACCAAGCCUUCGAUGGAUAGGGGUUCUGAGAGGAAGGUCCCCCACAUUGGAACUGAGACACGGUCCAAACUCCUACGGGAGGCAGGAGUGAGUAAUAUUGGUCAAUGGGCGUUAGCCUGAACCAGCCAAGUAGCGUGAAGGAUGAAGGCUUAUGGGUCGUAAACUUCUUUUAUAUAAGAAUAUGUAUUUUAUGAAGAAGGAUCGGCUAACUCCGUGCCAGCAGCCGCGGUAAUUC
rnacentral:rRNA from 1 species